rnacentral:rRNA from 1 species
GAUGAACGCUGGCGGCGUGCCUAAUACAUGCCAGUCGAGCGAACGGACGAGAAGCUUGCUUUUCUGAUGUUAGCGGCGGACGGGUGGGUAACACGUGGAUAACCUACCUAUAAGACUGGGAUAACUUCGGGAAACCGGAGCUAAUACCGGAUAAUAUUUUGAGCCGCAUGGUUCAAAAGUGAAAGACGGUCUUGCUGUCACUUAUAGAUGGAUCCGCGCUGCAUUAGCUAGUUGGUAAGGUAACGGCUUACCAAGGCAACGAUGCAUAGCCGACCUGAGAGGGGGAACGGCCAAACGGGAAGUGAGACGCGGUCCAGAUACCUACGGGAGGCAGAGGUGGGGAAGUUGCCGAAAUGGGCGAAAGCCUGCAGGAGCAACGCCGGGGGGGUGAUGAAGGUCUGCGGAUGGUAAAACUCUUUUAUUGGGGAAGAACAAUUGUGUAAGUAACUGUGCACAUUUGGACGGAACCGAUAAAGAAAGCCCCGGUGAACUACGG